AGAGUUUGAGUCCUGGCUCAGGAUGAACGCUAGCUACAGGCUUAACACGAUGCAAGUCGCGGGGCAGUCGAUGGGGGUAGCAAUACUCCUGAUGGCGACCGGCGGAUGGGUGAGUAACGCGUAUCCAACCUGGCCCUAUCUCGGGGACAGCCCCUCGAAAGAGGGAUUAAUACCCGAUGUUUCCAUGUUUCCGCAUGUUUUCAUGGACAAAGGCAUUCGUCGGAUAGGGAUGGGGAUGCGUCUGAUUAGGUUGUUGGCGGGGUAACGGCCCACCAAACCUUCGAUCAGUAGGGGUUCUGAGAGGAAGGCCCCCACACUGGGACUGAGACACGGCCCAGACUCCUACGGGAGGCAGCAGUGAGGAAUAUUGGUCAAUGGCCGUAAGGCUGAACCAGCCAAGUAGCGUGAGGGAUUACGGCCCUACGGGUCUUAAACCUCUUUUGUUGGGGAGCAACCGGCGCCACUAGUGGCGCCCUGCGAGUACCCUUCGAAUAAGCAUCGGCUAACUCCGUGCC
rnacentral:rRNA from 1 species